rnacentral:rRNA from 1 species
GAUGAACGCUGGCGGCGUGCCUAAUACAUGCAAGUCGAGCGAACAGACGAGGAGCUUGCUCCUCUGACGUUAGCGGCGGACGGGUGAGUAACACGUGGAUAACCUACCUAUAAGACUGGGAUAACUUCGGGAAACCGGAGCUAAUACCGGAUAAUAUAUUGAACCGCAUGGUUCAAUAGUGAAAGACGGUUUUGCUGUCACUUAUAGAUGGAUCCGCGCCGCAUUAGCUAGUUGGUAAGGUAACGGCUUACCAAGGCAACGAUGCGUAGCCGACCUGAGAGGGUGAUCGGCCACACUGGAUCUGAGACACGGUCCAGACUCCGACGGGAAGCAGCAGUAGGGAAUCUUCCGCAAAGGGCGAAAGCCUGACGGUGCAACGCCGCGUGAAUGAUGAAGGUCUUCUGAUCGUAAAACUCUGUUAUUAGGGAAGAACAAAUGUGUAAGUAACUAUGCACGUCUUGACGGUACCUAAUCAGAAAGCCACGGCUAACUACGUG